rnacentral:rRNA from 1 species
AUGAAGCUCCUAUGUUGGAACAUCAGGGGCUUCGGCCUCACUGGCCGGAGGCGUGAGCUCAUCGAGUAUUUGCGCCAGGAGGAGAUUGACAUUGUGGGCUUGCAAGAGAGGAUUCGCCAAGACUUUAGUAUGCAUGAGCUCCAUGGGCUGUCCCACCACCAGUUUGCCUGGCAGUGUUUACCUUCUUCGGGGUAG